GAUGAAGAACGUAGCGAAAUGCGAUACUUGGUGUGAAUUGCAGAAUCCCGUGAACCAUCGAGUCUUUGAACGCAAGUUGCGCCCGAAGCCAUUAGGCCGAGGGCACGCCUGCCUGGGCGUCACACGUCGUUGCCCCCCCAUCUACUCCUUCGGGAUUGCGGGGGGCGGAUGAUGGCCUCCCGUGCGCCUCGUCGCGCGGUUGGCAUAAAUGCCAAGUCCUCGGCGACGCACGCCACGACAAUCGGUGGUUGCGAAACCUCGGUUGCCCGUCGUGUGCGGUCGUCGCGCAUCGAGGGCUCGAAAAAAUUGCUGGGUUCCGGCUCGGCUUUCAACGCGACCCCAGGUCAGGCGGGGUUACCCGCUGAAUUUAAGCAUAUCAAUAAGCGGAGGA
rnacentral:misc_RNA from 1 species